AUAAGGGGAUGACAGCACAUGCAGUCGAGCGAUGAACCCCUUCGGGGGUGGAUUAGCGGCGGACGGGUGAGUAACACGUGGGUAACCUGCCUCAAAGUGGGGGAUAGCCUUCCGAAAGGAAGAUUAAUACCGCAUAAAGCCAAGUUUCACAUGGAAUUUGGAUGAAAGGAGUAAUUCGCUUUGAGAUGGACCCGCGGCGCAUUAGUUAGUUGGUGGGGUAAUGGCCUACCAAGACAGCGAUGCGUAGCCGACCUGAGAGGGUGAUCGGCCACAUUGGAACUGAGAUACGGUCCAGACUCCUACGGGAGGCAGCAGUGGGGAAUAUUGCACAAUGGGCGAAAGCCUGAUGCAGCAACGCCGCGUGAGUGAUGAAGGUCUUCGGAUUGUAAAGCUCUGUCUUUUGGGACGAUAAUGACGGUACCAAAGGAGGAAGCCACGGCUAACUACGUGCCAGCAGCCGCGGUAAUACGUAGGUGGCGAGCGUUGUCCGGAUUUACUGGGCGUAAAGGGUGCGUAGGCGGAUGUUUAAGUGAGAUGUGAAAUACCCGGGCUUAACUUGGGUGCUGCAUUUCAAACUGGAUAUCUAGAGUGCAGGAGAGGAGAAUGGAAUUCCUAGUGUAGCGGUGAAAUGCGUAGAGAUUAGGAAGAACACCAGUGGCGAAGGCGAUUCUCUGGACUGUAACUGACGCUGAGGCACGAAAGCGUGGGUAGCAAACAGGAUUAGAUACCCUGGUAGUCCACGCCGUAAACGAUGAGUACUAGGUGUAGGAGGUAUCGACCCCUUCUGUGCCGCAGUAAACACAUUAAGUACUCCGCCUGGGAAGUACGAUCGCAAGAUUAAAACUCAAAGGAAUUGACGGGGGCCCGCACAAGCAGCGGAGCAUGUGGUUUAAUUCGAAGCAACGCGAAGAACCUUACCUGGACUUGACAUCCCCUGAAUAACCUAGAGAUAGGCGAAGCCCUUCGGGGCAGGGAGACAGGUGGUGCAUGGUUGUCGUC
rnacentral:rRNA from 1 species